UCGAUGAUCAUUCGUUCGAGUUACUUAUACGAGGAAAACCAGUAGUAGCCAACAAUUUUUCUUUUCCUUGAGCGGGUCAACUUGGACUCAAUCUUUGAAUGGAAGAAGAUUAGUUCGUAAUUACACGCAGCACUCACAACAUCUAUCAGGAAUUAUUCGAGUUACUCCAACGAAGUACACAGUACACACAAACGAUGUCGCUAGUCGCCUAAUCCCCAGAACUUUGGUAUCGAUUGUCUUCCAUUUUGGAUCCAACCGGAAACAAGCUACGUUGAUUCUGAUCAUGGACGGCUAAAAUGUUGUGUGGAACGUGUUUGUAUUCUGCUAGUUCUUAAUGGUGUAAUAGGAUGUCCAAGAGAGUCAUUGCCGAAGAAAUUGCUGUUUCAAGUGGUGAGUGAUGGGACCAACAUGGAGCAUCUCAGAUGUACAUGAAACUAUUUCCUGAAUGACAGUUCAGCUUGAAGGAGACCUGCCACUCUUUUCCACACCAACCGUGUGGAUUGUGUGCGCUGCAGAGCAGUUCCUGCAUCCUUGAAAGCAUAGAUGAGUUCUGUCAACUAAAAUGCUCCCUGGGCUGCACUCCAGAGAAGUAACAAUGACUGUUUGCUGUUGGGGAAAUCUGUAAUUCGAGCCUAGCAAGCGAGCAUACCGCCUCGAGACAAUGGGUGUACAAAAUACUAAGGUAGUCCGCCUCAUCUCAGAAUAGCUGCGGGUAAGACAGAAGACUCGUCUUCAGGCUGUUACGGCAAAGAGGGCCAGAGCUUCUGGAGAGAUGCUUGUAAUCAAUUGUAGGUUUCCUGAUGUGAGUAACGUAACUGGUAAGUGCUGAUACGUUUCUUUUGGUGGUAACCAGAUUUGGCCAGGUCGUUCUUUAUUCUGACCGAGGUUGUUUCGUGGUUUAAUAUUUAGAAUUAAUAGCAAAUCACAGCUCUGUUGUAGAUUACUAAUUAAUUUAAAUUUUACAGUGUGGAACUUAUCACCAGUUUUGUAAGCCAACAGGAUACUGAUUUUAAAAAUAAAAAAAGAGGAUGGAUAUCAUUUAUGUAUGACAUGUUCCAAUUUUUAGUUUUGGCAGUAUUUUGUAGAAAGUUUUAUAGGAAUAAACAUAUUCCGAAGAA